UACGUAGGGACCGAGCGUUGUCCGGAAUCAUUGGGCGUAAAGAGCGUGUAGGCGGCUCGCUAAGUCUUGCGUGAAAUCUCGGGGCUCAACCCCGAGCGGUCGUGAGAAACUGGCGGGCUAGAGUGCGGGGGAGGAGAGUGGAAUUCCUGGUGUAGCGGUGAAAUGCGCAGAUAUCAGGAGGAACACCCGUGGCGAAGGCGGCUCUCUGGAACGCAACUGACGCUGAGACGCGAAAGCGUGGGGAGCAAACAGG
rnacentral:rRNA from 1 species